UUGCUCAUUUUCACAGCACACAUACUAAAAUUGGAAUGAUACAGAGAAGAUUAGCAUGGCCCCUGAGCAAGGAUGACACACAAAUUUGUGAAGCAUUCCAAAAAAAA